GAAGUGGAUCGGAUGGUCGCUGGUUCUGGCCUUAGGGCCAGAGCGAGAGGAAAGUCCGGGCUCCGCAGGACAGGGUGGUCGAUAACGACGACCGGCCGUGAGGCUAGGGAUAGUGCCACAGAAAACAUACCGCCGAUGGCUGCCGGAACAAAUGUGUUCCUGUAGCUCAGGUAAGGGUGAAAUGGUGCGGUAAGAGCGCACCAGCAGUCGAGGCGACUCGAUUGGUUUGGUAAACCCCACCCGGAGCAAGACCAAACAGGGAGCAGGCGGUGCAAACCGCCGCGAGCCGGUCCGGCUCGCCAUCGACUCCCGGGUAGGUCGCUGGAGGCGCCGUGCAAACGGGUGUCCUAGAGAAAUGACCAUCACCUCGCGCUGCGAGGUACAGAACCCGGCUUACAGAUCCACUUCGAGA
rnacentral:RNase_P_RNA from 1 species